UACGGAGGGGGCAAGCGUUGUUCGGAAUUACUGGGCGUAAAGCGCGCGUAGGCGGCUGGGUAAGUCAGAUGUGAAAGCCCUCGGCUCAACCGGGGAACUGCGUCUGAUACUGCCUGGCUUGAGUCCGGUAGGGGGUAGCGGAAUUCCCGGUGUAGCGGUGGAAUGCGUAGAUAUCGGGAGGAAUACCGAUGGCGAAGGCGGCUACCUGGGCCGGUACUGACGCUGAGGCGCGAAAGCUAGGGGAGCAAACAGG
rnacentral:rRNA from 1 species